rnacentral:tRNA from 1 species
GCGCUUUCUUUGGGAGAAAGACCUAGUUAGUUCGAGUCUAUCCUAUCUGA